GGCAACGUGGCUUAGGCUGGCUAUAGUGUUUGCUUGGUAAGCAAAAGGUCGCGGGUUCGAAUCCCGCCGUUGCCUCCA
rnacentral:tRNA from 1 species